rnacentral:tRNA from 1 species
GUCAGGGUGGCCGAGCGGUCUAAGACCCUGCGUUCAGGUCGCAGUCUCCCCUGGAGGCGUGGGUUCGAAUCCCACCUCUGACA